AGGAGUCGCCACCUAGUAUUAUGGUUACUAGGAACCCUGACUGGUCAGCAGAGAUUCUAUGGUACGGGACUGGUUACGCAAAAUGGAAGAUAUUAUCACCUCUUAAACGUCCUGCCUGAGGCAGGCUGCAUUGCUGGUUUUGUCAUAAAUUGCUAACAUUUUGUUGAUUUAUGCUAUGAUGGUUUGCGUGUAAUAUUCCUGACUCUGGCG
rnacentral:lncRNA from 1 species